AGAGGGCGGAGGUGGGACCGGCGGAACAGGCUGAGCACGUGGGGCUUAGACAGGCGGACAAGGGUGAACAGGUGGAGGUGAAGGUCGGGCAGGCGAAAUAGGGUGAACGGGUGGAAUAGGGUGAACAGGUGGUGGUAGGACAGGUGGAAUAGGGUGAACAGGUGGAGGUGGGACAGGUGGAGCAGAUUGAGAGUGGCAAGGUGAAGACCCAGGAAGAAGAUGAAGAUAGGGCAGGGGUGGAUGUCGCCUUGGACGAAUCAUGAUCUUUUAAUUGAAAAGUGAGGGUUCUGAAAGCACAAUUUUAAAAUUGUGGAUUUGUUAAAGAGAAGCAAGAAAAGCAAGAUAUUGAAAAUUAAGAAGAUUGAUACCUGCAGUUCUUUUCUCACCUAUNAGCACAAUUUUAAAAUUGUGGAUUUGUUAAAGAGAAGCAAGAAAAGCAAGAUAUUGAAAAUUAAGAAGAUUGAUACCUGCAGUUCUUUUCUCACCUAUAGAUAGUAAUGAUCAGAAUUUGCUAAUAUAUAAAAUGCAUAUGAAAGAGAGGAGAAAGAGAGAAAAAAAAAUAUAAAAAAUAAUUAUAAGCAUCAUCUAUGAACAAUUUUUAUAUA
rnacentral:lncRNA from 1 species